AACAUGUUUUCGAGAAAGAUAAGUCUGUCAAUCAAGCUGAUAUGAUGGGUAUCGUGCUGGUGUUACAGUUUGUUUAAUCUUCCAUAAUAGAAAGCACUCUGUUUCUGGGCAUUUGUUUCAUUUACUUUAAUCCAAUUACAUGUUUCCGGGAACCUGCAUCAAUACGUUUCUGUCAACCACGGGGAAUUGUUCGAUCAAUUUCAACAAAUCUGGAUUUACUCUCAAGCAUACUUAGUAUAUGAUGGAGGUACUAAGCAGGAUCGGGAAGUAAGUAAGAUGCACGAACACUUCGGCCUCAUCUCUAUAAAAUUGAAGAAAGCCAGACAGAAGGCAACAACAACAAAUGAAAUAUGUCCUACAUCUGGUUCAAG